rnacentral:rRNA from 1 species
CACGGACCGCACGAACGUUAUUCGGUAUCACUGGGCUUAAAGGGUGCGUAGGCGGCUUUGCAAGUUGGGUGUGAAAGCCCUCGGCUCAACCGAGGAAUUGCGCUCAAUACUGCCGAGCUCGAGAGAGACAGAGGUAAGCGGAACUGAUGGUGGAGCGGUGAAAUGCGUUGAUAUCAUCAGGAACACCGGGUGGCGAAGGCGGCUUACUGGGUCUUUUCUGACGCUGAGGCACGAAAGCCAGGGGAGCAAACGGGGAU